GGCGUGCUUAACACAUGCAAGUCGAACGGAAAGGUCUCUUCGGAGAUACUNGAGUGGCGAACGGGUGAGUAACACGUGGGUAAUCUGCCCUGCACUUCGGGAUAAGCCUGGGAAACUGGGUCUAAUACCGAAUAGGACCCCGAGGCGCAUGCCUUGGGGUGGAAAGCUUUUGCGGUGUGGGAUGGGCCCGCGGCCUAUCAGCUUGUUGGUGGGGUGACGGCCUACCAAGGCGACGACGGGUAGCCGGCCUGAGAGGGUGUCCGGCCACACUGGGACUGAGAUACGGCCCAGACUCCUACGGGAGGCAGCAGUGGGGAAUAUUGCACAAUGGGCGCAAGCCUGAUGCAGCGACGCCGCGUGGGGGAUGACGGCCUUCGGGUUGUAAACCUCUUUCACCAUCGACGAAGGUCCGGGUUUUCUCGGAUUGACGGUAGGUGGAGAAGAAGCACCGGCC
rnacentral:rRNA from 1 species